GACGGAGGGUGCUAGCGUUGUUCGGAAUCACUGGGCGUAAAGGGCGCGUAGGCGGCCUUGCAAGUCGGUUGGUGAAAGCCCGGGGCUCAACCCCGGAGGUGCAGCCGAGACUGCAGGGCUGGAGGCCGGAAGAGGAGGGUGGAAUACCCAGUGUAGAGGUGAAAUUCGUAGAUAUUGGGUGGAACACCGGUGGCGAAAGCGGCUCUCUGGUCCGGACCUGACGCUGAGGCGCGAAAGCGUGGGGAGCAAACAGG
rnacentral:rRNA from 1 species